rnacentral:lncRNA from 1 species
CAGAUCUGAACUCUCAGCGAGCUUAGGGUUUGGGUUCGGGAGCAACCAGGAAGCGGCCUCGGCCUCUUCGCGGCUAGCAUCGCCGUCGGGAUCGGAGUAAUAACGGUCGUCAACUAGAAGGUUGACGGCGUUGGACUUAGCAGCAGCGGCGGCAGAGUCGUAGAACGGCACCACCGGAACUCGCUCGUGGCGGCGAGCGAGAGGGUUGGCGGAGUGGAUAUCGCGGUCGCAUGUGACGCAGAGAGCGGCGGCGUCGGCCUUGCACGUGACAUGGGCAGGAGCCUGCUCGCAGACCUCGCACAUCCACACCCGCGCGUGGCGAGAGGCGAGCU